rnacentral:rRNA from 1 species
UUGACCUCGGAUCAGGUAGGGAUACCCGCUGAACUUAAGCAUAUCAAAAGCCGGAGGAAAC